CAGUCUAGAAUCUUAGAAUUUGUAUUCGUAAUUUUAAAAAAAAUCAUAUGAUUUUCAACUAUUUUUAAUGUUCAACUUAAUUUUUUGUGAAAGGGUGGCGUGGAUCAUGGACUUUGUUUUUUUUUUUUUAUAUAAUCUUCCAAACAUAUAUGAACACUUCAACUUCACGCGCGUACGGAUACAGUGUACGGAUUUUUUGGGUUGAAAUUUAUAUGUUUUUUCAUCGGUUACUAUUUUAUGGUUACUAGAUUUCAGACUUCAGAAAAAAUUAUAAGAUGUGGUGGUUCUUGCAUAGAAACAACCAUGUGAUACACGCAAUUAAAGAAAGUGUG
rnacentral:lncRNA from 1 species